UACGUAGGUGGCAAGCGUUGUCCGGAAUUAUUGGGCGUAAAGCGCGCGCAGGUGGUUUUCUUAAGUCUGAUGUGAAAGCCCACGGCUCAACCGUGGAGGGUCAUUGGAAACUGGGGGAACUUAGUGCAGGAGAGAAGAGUGGAAUUCCACGUGUAGCGGUGAAAUGCGUAGAGAUGUGGAGGAACACCAGUGGCGAAGGCGACUCUUUGGCCUGUAACUGACGCUGAGGCGCGAAAGCGUGGGGAGCAAACAGG
rnacentral:rRNA from 1 species